AAAAAAAAAAAAAAACUGAUGAAGGAAUCUACCAAAGAAUUUUCCAAGCAAUGAAGAACGAAUAACUAUCAACCACUUAUAAUAGGUAGUAGUUGUAAACUAAAUAUUUAGUUGCUCUACUGGAUAAGCAGUACUUAACAACCAAAAACAAAAUAUACAUAAGAGGUAAUUACUCUCUUCAGUCAAACUAACUUGUAGAAUAUGCAAACAAUUUCAAAGCACACGAAUUACAUAAGAGCUGACUGGAGUUUUACCUUGUGACCUUGCACACUUUAGGAACUAUGCAAGUACAUAGCUUAUAUACGGAUAUUUAUCAAAUAAAAUUAAGCACAUACAAUAGCGAAGUAGGAAGCUUGAUUAAAGCAAGGACUGAAAUAAUGUCAAAUUAGGAGGACAAAGAGAAAUGACCUCAAUUAAAAUAAGAACUUCUCCAAUUUUAUGUUAACAUCCAGCAAGAUGUACCGCAUAAUCCGAUCUAGCCGUUGAUGCAACAAUGAAAUCCAAUUGAAAUAUGACCAGAAAAGAGUAAACCAUGACCGGAACUCGGAUCCGCAACCUCGAACUCGGAUACGGACAGAACUUUGGGGCGAUUUUGGAAUGUUUUAAGCUGGGUUUCAGUACUGAUUUUUUGUGCUGGUUUGGGUUGGUUUAGACGGAGAGAAGGAGGCUCAUCUCCUCAACUAGAACACAGCAACCGUAUAGAGUUGAACUAUCAGCAACCUUAGGAUGAGAAAGGGAACAACAAAAGUAAACAAAAUUUUUCUAUUCAUAAAGCCAAAGCUGGCACAUCUAUGCACAACUUAGACAUGAAAGCUGGAAGCCACUUCUUACUGUUGUCUAAUUCAAAUAAAGAGCUAUUAAAUAUUGAUGAUAAAUCUAAAGUCUACGGCUGAAGCAGACGAGUGCUUCUCUUUUUUGUGUAAGAUUUUGGGUCCAAAGAAGAAGAAAAGAAAACGGCUGAUUGUGUUUUAUUAGGUGUUCAAGGCUUGGUUUUGGUUGUCAAAAACUAAAUAAGAAGAAGACGACGUUAGGGGGUGGGGUUUCUUGCUGUUGAGAAACGGCGGAUCUAACGUUUUUUUAGGUGC
rnacentral:lncRNA from 1 species